rnacentral:rRNA from 1 species
CAGUAGCCGCGGGAAUACGAAGGGGGCAAGCGUUGUCCGGAAUUAUUGGGCGUAAAGGGCUCGCAGGCGGUUUCUUAAGUCUGAUGUGAAAGCCCCCGGCUCAACCGGGGAGGGUCAUUGGAAACUGGGAAACUUGAGUGCAGAAGAGGAGAGUGGAAUUCCACGUGUAGCGGUGAAAUGCGUAGAGAUGUGGAGGAACACCAGUGGCGAAGGCGACUCUCUGGUCUGUAACUGACGCUGAGGAGCGAAAGCGUGGGGAGCGAACAGGAUUAGAUACCCGAGUAGUCCCUGUCUCUUAUAC